CUCAAGGCUUGUGUUACUGGAUCAUUAACACACACCACCUCAUAUCUAGGUGGUACAGGGCAGCAUACUGUUGAAUUACAAAGGCACAGCUGUGCGGUUUGCAGAUGUGUGCCCUUGCAGGGUAGAGAUAUCACAAAUAGAGUGCAGUUGCUGUGGGGAAAAUCCACACGAACAACAGAAGAAACUGACUACGGCUCUGCAACUGGAUGCACACAGUAUCUCCUGUGAAGUGAAAAAGAUGAUGAAAAACAACAGGAACCUAUAUAUUUUUAUGUGCCUAUUAAUGCCUGAAUGUAUCCUACAAUCAUAAAACUGUCCAGCACUUAGACACGCUACGUGGAAGUAAAUCAAUCUGUUCUAAAAGAUUUGGCAUGAAAACUUCAAAAAGGAUAUUCUCAACUCAGGGAUUUUCUUGUUAUUUUACUGGCACACACAAUAUUUCCUGAGACUGGAGGAAGGAGUGAAUAGCCAAGGAAUACUUGAUGUAAAUGUUAUAUCUUUUCUUUUGAAAUGUGGUAAAUGUGCCCUAAAAAUUCUUGAAAACAUACAAAAUUAUAGUUUUUUUCUAUUUAUAAACUACCAUUUUGCUACUUCCAAAAGAGAGAUUUGGUCCUAUCAUAAUUGGCUCUAAAAAUUACAAAAAUAUUAGAGAAGGGUUGUGACAAAGUGCUAUGGCCUAACAGCAGGGUCAGUACUCUGAUCACAGUAGCCUCAAUUAGUUUCUCCAGCGACGGCUGAUUCAGGAAAUAGGGAGGAAUUAGCUACUCAGAUGGGAAGGCUGGGUGAGAGUUAUGGAACCAACUGCCCCUUAAGCUGACUACCUUGAUAAGAGGCAGGAAGGAAGUGUUGGGGGUAGGGGGGCUACCCAGACCCCGACUGAAGAAGAUACCAAGAAAGAAAGGUCUCUUUUCCUCCUAGGGCCCUGAUGAACAGGGGCUGAAGGUCAUAGGUAUUAAAUAGUUGUAUUGCAUUGUACAG